rnacentral:rRNA from 1 species
AGAGUUUGAUCCUGGCUCAGGAUGAACGCUGGCGGCGUGCUUAACACAUGCAAGUCGAACGGAGUUUAAGAAGGAAGCUUGCUUUCAUUUUAAACUUAGUGGCGGACGGGUGAGUAACGCGUGAGGAACCUGCCCUUCAGUGGGGAACAACAACUAGAAAUGGUUGCUAAUACCGCAUAAUGUCGGAUUGCCGCAUGACAGACCGAUCAAAGGAUUUAUUCGCUGAAGGAUGGCCUCGCGUCCGAUUAGAUAGUUGGUGAGGUAACGGCCCACCAAGUCUGCGAUCGGUAGCCGAACUGAGAGGUUGAUCGGCCACAUUGGGACUGAGACACGGCCCAGACUCCUACGGGAGGCUGCAGUCGAGAAUUUUGGGCAAUGGGCGAAAGCCUGACCCAGCAAUGCCGCGUGCGGGAUGAAGGUCUUCGGAUUGUAAACCGCUGUCAAGAGGGACGAAAUAUGACGGUACCCCUGAAGGAAGCCACGGCUAACUACGUGCCAGCAGCCGCGGUAAUACGUAGGUGGCGAGCGUUGUUCGGAUUUAUUGGGCGUAAAGGGUCCGCAGGUGGCCGGUUAAGUUUGAUGUGAAAUCCCAGAGCUCAACUCUGGAACUGCAUUGAAGACUGAUCGGCUGGAGUAUCGGAGAGGAGAUUGGAAUUCCAGGUGUAGCGGUGGAAUGCGUAGAUAUCUGGAAGAACACCGAAAGCGCAGGCAGAUCUCUGGACGAUGACUGACACUCAGGGACGAAAGCAUGGGUAGCAAACAGGAUUAGAUACCCUGGUAGUCCAUGCCCUAAACGUUGUCAACUUGAUGUGAGCGGAGUUACUCCCGUUCGUGUCGAAGCUAACGCGAUAAGUUGACCGCCUGGGGACUACGGCCGCAAGGCUAAAACUCAAAGAAAUUGACGGGGGCCCGCACAAGCGGUGGAGCAUGUGGCUUAAUUCGAGGCAACGCGAAGAACCUUACCUGGAUUUGACAUUGAUUGACCGGCGUAGAAAUACGUCUUUCCGCAAGGACAUGAAAACAGGUGCUGCAUGGCUGUCGUCAGCUCGUGAUGUGAAUUGUCCGGUUAAGUCCGACAACGAGCGCAACCCGUGUUGCCAGUUGCCAGCAGGUAAAGCUGGGCACUCUGGCGAGACUGCCCGUGUCAAGCGGGAGGAAGGAGCGGAUGACGUCAAGUCCGUAUGGCCUUUAUAUCCAGGGCUGCACACGUGCUACAAUGGCUGUUACAGAGGGAAGCAAUACCGUGAGGUGGAGCUGAUCCGUAAAAGCAGCCUUAGUUCAGAUUGCAGUCUGCAACUCGACUGCAUGAAGCCGGAAUCGCUAGUAAAGGCGUAUCAGCCACGACGCCUUGAAUACGUUCCCGGGCCUUGUACACACCGCCCGUCA